CCGUGUGUCCCCUGUCCCUUUGUCCCCUCACCCCGCGUCCGUGUGUCCCCUGUCCCUUUGUCCCCUCACCCCGCGUCCGUGUGUCCCCUGUCCCUCUGUCCCCUCACCCUGCGUCCGUUUGUCUCCUGUCCCUUUGUCCCCUCACCCCAUGUCCAUGUGUCCCGUGUCCCUUCAUCCCCUCACCCCGCAUCCGUGUGUCCCCUGUCCCUUUGUCCCCUCACCCUGCGUCCCUUUGUCCCCUGUCCCUUUGUCCCCUCACCCCGUGUCUGUUUGUCCCCUGUCCCCAGCGGCGCGAGAUGGCAGCGCUGAAGCAGCGGGUGCUGCGCAUCCAGGAGGAGCGGGCGCAGCGGGACACGCGCGGGUAGGGGACAACGAGGGGACAGCGAGGGGACAACGAGGGGACAACGAGGGGACAACGCGGGGACAACGCGGGGACAACGAGGGGACAGCGAGGGGACAACGAGGGGACACCGCCGUGGGGACACCGAGGGGACAACGCCGUGGGGACAGACGCCCUGAGGACGUGGGGACACCGCGGGGACACGGCUGCGUCCCGGUGGCAAUGGGGACAACGGGGGACACCGCUGGGAGGGACAAGUGGGGACAUGUGGCAUUGUCCCGGUGCCACCACCUUGGGGACAAGUGGGGACACGUGGCAUUGUUCCAGUGCCACCAUCCUUGGUGGCAACUGGGGAUGUGUGGCAUUGUCCCAGUGCCACCACUGAGUGACAACUGGGGACACGUGGCAUUGUCCCAGUGCCACCAAUGA
rnacentral:lncRNA from 1 species